CAGCAGCAGCCGCGGUAAUACGAAGGGUGCAAGCGUUACUCGGAAUUACUGGGCGUAAAGCGUGCGUAGGUGGUGGUUUAAGUCCGUUGUGAAAGCCCUGGGCUCAACCUGGGAAUUGCAGUGGAUACUGGGUCACUAGAGUGUGGUAGGGGAUAGUGGAAUUUCCGGUGUAGCAGUGGAAUGCGUAGAGAUCGGGAGGAACAUCAGUGGCGAAGGCGGCCAUCUGGGACAACACUGACGCUGAGGCACGAAAGCGUGGGGAGCAAACAGGAUUAGAUACCCCAGUAGUCCCUGUCUCUUAUAA
rnacentral:rRNA from 1 species